rnacentral:piRNA from 1 species
UACCAACUGAGCCACAGCCUCAGAUUUGAGAU